GGAGAGAUGGCUGAGUGGUCGAAGGCGGCGGUCUCGAAAACCGUUAACGGGCUUGCUCGUUCUGGGGUUCGAAUCCCCAUCUCUCCGCCA
rnacentral:tRNA from 1 species